UGAGUACGAGACGCUAAGGCGUUGAAGUGGUGUAUGUCAUACUUCCAAGAAAAGCUUGCACUGUCAUAAAUAAAGAAUGCCUGUACCAUAACCGACACAGGUGGGUAGGUAGAGUAUACUAAGGGGCGCGAGAUAACUCUCUCUAAGGAACUCGGCAAAAUGACUCCGUAACUUCGGGAGAAGGAGUGCCUUAUUCGUAAGGCUGCAAUAACAAGAUCCAAGCAACUGUUUAUCAAAAACACAGGUCUCCGCUAAGUCGUAAGACGAUGUAUGGGGGCUGACGCCUGCCCAGUGCCAGAAGGUUAAAGAAGUUGGUUAGCAUUAGCGAAGCUGAUAACUGAAGCCCUGGUGAACGGCGGCCGUAACAAUAACGGUCCUAAGGUAGCGAAAUUCCUUGUCGGGUAAGUUCCGACCCGCACGAAAGGCGUAAUGAUUUGGAUACUGUCUCGGAGAGGGGCUCGGUGAAAUAGACUUGUCUGUGAAGAUGCGGACUACCUGCACCAGGACAGAAAGACCCUAUGAAGCUUUACUGUAACUUGAAAUUGAAAUUGGACUUUAGUCGCGCAGCAUAGGUGGGAGGCGUUGAAAAUAAUCUUGCGGGAAUAUUUGAGCCAUCAGUGAGAUACCACUCUUCUAAUGUUAGAUUUCUAACUUUGAACCAUUAUCUGGUCAAAGGACAGUUUCAGGCGGGCAGUUUGACUGGGGCGGUCGCCUCCUAAAUGGUAGCGGAGGCGUACAAAGGUUUCCUCUGAACGGGUAGAAAUCGUAUCUAGAGUGUAAAGGCAUAAGGAAGCUUGACUGUGAGACCUACAAGUCGAACAGGGACGAAAGUCGGUCUUAGUGAUCUGACGGUACUGAGUGGAAAGGCCGUCACUCAACGGAUAAAAGUUACUCUAAGGAUAACAGGCUGAUCUCCCCCAAGAGUUCACAUCGACGGGGAGGUUUGGCACCUCGAUGUCGGCUCAUCGCAUCCUGGGGCGGUAGUACGUCCCAAGGGUUGGGCUGUUCGCCCAUGAGAGCGGUACGCGAGCUGGGUUCAGAACGUCGUGAGACAGUUCGGUCCAUAUCCGGUGUAGGCGUUAGAAUAUUGAGAGGAGCCUUCUUUAGUACGAGAGGACCGAGAAGGACAUACCUAUGGUGUACCAGUUAUCGUGCCAACGGUAAACGCUGGGUAGCUAAGUAUGGAGUGGAUAACCGCUGAAAGCAUCUAAGUGGGAAGCCCACCUCAAGAUGAGUAUUCUC
rnacentral:rRNA from 1 species